UCCGGUAUACUCGGAGCUGAAGGUACCUGCAGAAUAAGCACCGGCUAACUCCGUGCCAGCAGCCGCGGUAAUACGGAGGGUGCAAGCGUUGUCCGGAUUCAUUGGGUUUAAAGGGUACGUAGGCGGUAUUGUAAGUCAGUGGUGAAAUCUUGCGGCUCAACCGUAAAACUGCCAUUGAUACUGCAGUACUAGAGUUCAUUCGAGGUGGUUGGAAUGCGUAGUGUAGCGGUGAAAUGCAUAGAUAUUACGCAGAACACCUAUUGCGAAGGCAGAUCACUGGGAUGAAACUGACGCUGAGGUACGAAAGCGUGGGGAGCGAACAGGAUUAGAUACCCUGGUAGUCCACGCCGUAAACGAUGGAUACUAGGUGUUCGGCAGUUAUGUUGAGUGCCUAAGGGAAACCGAUAAGUAUCCCACCUGGGGAGUACGUYCGCAAGGAUGAAACUCAAAUGAA
rnacentral:rRNA from 1 species